GGGAGGGCGACAACCGCUCCAGACAACGGCCAGUCGGCAGUUCAGGUUCCAGUGCGUCCAGCCUGAAAUAAAAUGUAGUUCGAAGGCUGAGGUUACCCACACUCGCAGUGGCCUGGGAGAUGCACGUGGCGGCGUUAUCUUUCUGGACCAGUGGCAGAGCACAGGAAAGGAAGCGACGACGAGAGGGUUUCGUUUCAGAAUACCUUGGGAAUACUGUCAUAACAGUGCAGCUCAAGUUUUAGCCCAGAUCGUCUGACUUGGAAUUUGUCUACUACUGGAAAACACAGACCACUAUACAAAGGAAACCCUAAAAGAUGGUUCAGAGCACGAUUCAAAGUGGAAAAGACUCACAUGCGGAACGUAUGCCCCAGCCCAAAUUCCAGGCCUGCAUCACAGAAGAUGAACUGUUUCAAAGGAUUCUUAAUCAUGGGGAAGAGGACAAAAUAGGUAUACCUGACAUACAAUGUUACAUCGGAUCAGAUGUAAAGGCUGGCGAUAUGACAACUCUAUAGCAUUAAUUCACUCACCACAAGGGAGCUACCAUCUGUCACCAUACGGUGCUGUUAUAAUACCACUGAAUGUAUUCCCUGUGUUGCAUCCUGUAUCACCAUGACUGACUAAUUCCAUAACUGGAACCCUGUCCUUCCCAAUUCUAUUUACCCAUAUUGCCCAUGCUCCCUCUCCAUUCCACUCUGCUGAUGUUUCUGCUUUUGUUGUUCCUGAUUGCCAUUUGUAACAAAGUAGACAGACCUAAAUGGUAUUACGCUAUGUGACGUAAGUCAAAGAAAGAUAAUAAUAAUAUGAUAUCACAGUUAUGUACAAAUCAAUCACAAAAGAGUUGCAAAAACAAGAGGAGAAACAAACC